GACGAACGCUGGCGGCGUGCCUAACACAUGCAAGUCGAACGAAGUGGCGAACGGGUGAGUAACGCGUAAUCAACCUGCCCUUCAGAGGGGGAUAACAGUUGGAAACGACUGCUAAUACCGCAUACUGAAGGAGGGGUUUGCGUUUGAUUAGCUCGCUGGGGGGGCAAAGGCCUACCAAGGCGACGAUCCGUAACUGGUCUGAGAGGAUGAUCAGGCACACUGGAACUGAGACACGGUCCAGACUCCUACGGGAGGCAGCAGUGGGGAAUAUUGGACAAUGGGCGCAAGCCUGAUGCAGCCAUGCCGCGUGUGUGAAGAAGGUCUUCGGAUUGUAAAGCACUUUCAGUUGGGAGGCGUUACCCACAGAAUAAGCACCGGCUAACUUCGUGCCAGCAGCCGCGGUAAUAC
rnacentral:rRNA from 1 species